AACCACCUUGCUCGCACCAAAAUUGAGAUUGAGAGUGUCAAAACUGCUCUGGCGCACCAUCAAUAAAUCAACGACACUCUCUCUACCAUGGUAUUGAAACCAGCAUUGGUAACCAAACAUAUUCAUACAGAUACAGACUACCAUUCAUCUACAUUUAGGAAGUCUGAAUAAUACUGAAAACUAUGGUGUAGAAUUUCCAACAGGACUCCUUAUUUUAUAUAAGACAAGGAGUGGUUUAUUUUCCCAUGGUUGUUACAUCAUCUUGUCUUUGAAUAUGCUCGAAGUACAGGGACUUUUAUGGAAUUCAUUGACAUGAUAGUCAAGCAAGAUGUCAACAUCUCGUCCAACCCUCUUCCAGCAAAGCCAAAGCUGACCAAGGAUCUUCACCCUUUCAAAACAGGCUGUAUACAGGACGAGUUAUUCCAGUAGGAACAGGGCUAUAUAUAUGCAAGCAAUGCUCAAUUAAGAUGAAUUUUUGUAAAAGUGACAAUAGCCAGGUCAAACUAAAUACAUGUAUAGAAGAAGACAUUGAUCUAGACUCGCAGCUAACCUUUCUGUCAGUGUCAACAACAACUGAACUUUCACAGCAGUCAACAUCAGAUUGGGAGACUGAUAACACUUCUAACAGAAACAAUUUCAACCAACCAAACAAGCAACAGAAACUUUCCAACUUUAAAACAUCAGUUAAAUCUUCCAUUGGAUGAUGUCUCAAAAAAUAACAGU